AGCUGAUACUAGUAAACAAGUGUCACUAGAGGACGGCAGGGAAACACCGCUAGUAGUUAAUUACCCCUACACAGCAUUACAAGUGAGAACAUCUCUUCGACAAAUUGAGGCAAAUGAACAGUAAUUCUGUCGAGGAGAAGUUACAUAAGUUACACUGAAAAAAAAAUAUAAAAAUUAAGGGACUAGCAACAAGAAUCACCAGUACUUUUAGACAGCAAUGGAAGGAACAGCAGCAAUGAGUAACAGCCAUGAGCAGACCGAGAAUGACACUGGUACCAGGAACUUGUCAGGGGACUCUUCUGCCACCACACCUCAUUCCACUUGGCCACCAACCCCUACCAGCACCACCAAUAUCACCACCUCCCUCACUGAAGAGACGAUGUUGUCUCCGAACGAAGAAAAUUUUGACACUUACUUUGCUCAUGAGAGAAUUCAGAUCCCUGAGUCAGAAAAUAAGCUGUUCAGUUUUCGAAAAUUUUGGGCAUUUACAGGCCCUGGCUUUCUCAUGAGUAUUGCCUACCUAGACCCCGGAAAUAUAGAGUCUGAUCUUCAGUCUGGAGCGGCAGCAAACUACCAGCUUCUGUGGGUGCUGAUGUGGGCAACUAUCCUUGGACUCGUCAUGCAACGUCUUUCAGCACGCUUGGGGACAGUGACGGGUCUUCACUUGUCAGAAGUUUGUUACCGACAUUAUCCACGCAUUCCACGCAUUCUGCUCUGGAUCAUGGUCGAGAUUGCCAUUAUUGGGUCUGACAUGCAAGAAGUUAUAGGGACAUCCAUUGCAAUUUACAUACUUUCAAAUGGAGUAAUUCCUAUACCAGGCGGAGUAGUAAUUACCAUUGCUGAUACCUUCACGUUUCUUGCUCUGGACCGCUAUGGUCUUCGUAAGCUUGAGGCUUUCUUUGGCUUUCUCAUCAUGGUAAUGGCUGGAACAUUUGGCUAUCAGUAUGGUGUUUCAAAGCCUGAUCAGGUGGCAGUACUGAAAGGAUUAUUUGUUCCGGGCUGUUACAACUGUGACCAGCGAGCACUCGCUCAAGCAGUUGGCAUUGUAGGAGCUGUCAUAAUGCCUCAUAAUCUCUAUUUACACUCGGCUCUUGUGAAGUCACGGGAUGUUGACCGCAAGAAGAAAGAAGAUGUAAAAGAAGCAAACAAGUAUUUCUUCUUAGAAGCUUGUUUGGCUCUGCUGUGUUCCUUCGUCAUUAAUGUGUUCGUGGUGGCUGUGUUUGCUAAAGGACUUUAUGGUGUCACAAACCAAGAAGUGUAUGAUCGUUGUGAAGCUGUCAACAACACCCACGCCAAUGCCUUCGAACAAAAUGAUGAGCUAGUUGAUGCAGACAUCUUCAAAGCCGGGGUGUUCCUCGGGUGUACUUAUGGUGUUGUGUGUAUGUACAUCUGGGCUAUAGGAAUUCUUGCUGCUGGUCAGAGCUCAACAAUGACUGGAACAUAUGUUGGACAAUUUGCAAUGGAGGGCUUCCUGAACCUUCGGUGGAAGCGCUGGCAGCGAGUGCUUCUGACACGUACCAUUGCUAUUAUUCCAACAUUCUUUAUUGCAUUCUACAAGGACAUCAAUGAUCUCACCAAGAUGAAUGAUUUACUGAAUGUUGUCAUGUCGCUGCAACUACCCUUCGCUCUCAUACCAGCUGUGACGUUCACAUCAUCACAGCACAUCAUGGGCGACUUCAAGAAUGGAGUAUUUACAAAGGUUCUGUCAUCCCUUUUGUCAUUGGUGGUGAUCGCCAUCAACUUGUGGUUCGUGAUCAACUUCCUCGACGCUAAUAUUGACCCAAACAGCUGGUGGGUGUACAUUCUGGUGGCUCUCGUCGGGAUAUUCUACUUCACCCUCAUCACAUACUUGACAUUGUUCCUGGUGGUUGCCUUUGGAUUUAACCUCUGCUGUCACUUACCUCUUUCUGGACUUAUGGGCAUGGAUGGUACUAGUCCUACCUUACAACACAGCUUCGAAGGUUCAUAUCCCAGCAUCUGAAUCAAGCAGCCUAUCAACUGGAUGUGCCUUCUGAGGCAAUGGACGAUAUAUACAGAUCUCAAGACAUCAGAAUGGAAGUGUCACAUUAAAAUCUCUAAGCUAAGUGGAACAGUCUUCAUGAAAAUAUUCUUCCCUCCAAGUGCUGAGUUUGCCUAAUGAAUUAUUUUUUAAAGUGCUAUUGAAGAAAGUCCAAUAUUUGACCAUCUAUCAUGUAGAUUUUUUAUAUUGUACUAUUAAGUGUUUGUAUUAUAGUAUUUAAGUACAGUACUUUAGUGAGUACGGUAUGUUUGUAGUGUAGUAGUGUGUCAGUAUUAUAGUGGCCAUAAAGUACGCAUUUAUUUUUGGGGGGUAUGAGCUAUACUUUCUUGUACAGCAUACCCAUUGUUUGACUACUGGCUGUGUAUACCCAUUCUGUCUAUUGUGCUACUAAACAUGUAUACCCAUUAUGUCUGCUGUGUGAUUUAUCAUAUAUAGCCAUUCUGUCUAUUGUGGAACUGGCUAUGUAUACUGAUUCUGUCUCUUGUGCUACUAAAUAUGUAUAUUUUGUGUCUAUUGUGCAACUUUCUGUGGGUAAUUUUUUAAAUCUAUUGUGCUGAUUUUCAUAAUUACCUUCCUCUCUGCUGCUUGCUUGUGAAGUUAUGUCUUAUGUAGUAAUGCUUUAACUUUGUGUAUUUACCCUUUCAUUUGAUAGACAUAUUGAUGACCAAGUUCCAUAUUGAUGACCAAGUUCCAGGGUUGGAAUCUUACUGGGCCUGAACCUAACUUAACUUAAUAUAACUUAACCUAAACUAUAACCUAAUCUAACCAUACCAUACCAUCAGGAGUGGUUCAAAUAGAAUUAAGGUCUAUUAGGAUAGGAUAUCUUUAGGACUUGGGACCUGGUAGGACUGGUUAGGUUAGGUUUAAGGCCCAGUAAAAUUGGAGCCUAUAUGACGAAUCGCCAGUACCAACAGUUAUUCCACUGCUCUCUAAACACCAUAAUGAGUCUGGGGCUCUAAUUAUACACACACACACACACAACACACACACACACACACACACACACACACACACACACACACACACGAAUUAUUAACCCCCUUACUCCUAUAGCGGUUUAACAUUAAAUCCUCUCAAAAUAGAGAAUUAAAUAGUAUACUCCGUUGAUGAUAAAAUAGUUAUGUAAGAAAGCGUAGAUGGUAGAUGAACAUGGUGGAAGUAUCGUCUUGGGCAAACAAGGGAUUUAAGUAAUCUCUCAGUGGUUCAUGGGAAUGCAACUUGCUUUUGAUUAUGAAAACAAAAAUGACAAUAGAAAUAUCCAAAGAUUGUUGAGUGGAUUCAAAAGAAAGUCUGUAAUGUAUACUGCUGAGGUUGCUAGAGAGAAGUUGAGUGGAAUGAAAAAGUCUGUAAAGUUGAAAUAGUAUUUGAUUUGAUCACAGUAAAUGAUCUACCGUACAGGAUGAAGAUUAUUCAGAAGACAAAUUAUCAAUUUUUUUUUUUUCGGGAAAUGGAAUGGAAUAGCAUCAAACUCAUGAAAACUAAACUCAAUAUUUGGGGAAAAGAUCUAUAAUUUCAUGAUUAGAAGAACCUUGAUAAAUUAUAAUGCAGACAGAAGAAAAGGUCAUAUGGAAUAUUUAAUUUCAUCUGAAACAUAAAUUCUGCAGUAUGAUUAAGAAAACAAUUAUGUAAUACACGAAGAAUCUAUAUGAAAUGACAUUUUUUGCCUUAUGAUCUGCGUGGUUAAGCAAAAGGCAUAACACCAUGAUGCUACAUUGAAGAAUUAGAAUCUAUUUUGCCGAGUGUGUGUACGUAGAGCAACACUAUUAAAGGCUGUGAUAUUUCUUAUUUUAAUGUCAUCCUCUGUCUGAUGGCUGUGAUUGGUAAUGUUAAAUCUUGCUGUAGAUUUAGUUGUUGACAUUUUAGUUGAUGCAUACACAAAAUGCUCUUUAAUAAGGGUAGCUUUUAACCUUUUCAGGAUAAUUGUUUAACCCUUGGAGGAUGAUGGUUUUAACCCCUUGGGGACAAUAGUCUAAACCUUUGGGGGCAGUUAUUUAAUUAUUUAAGUAAUAUGGUGUAACCCUUUUAGGAUAUUACUCAACCUUUUGAUAACAAUGGUUUGACCCUUUGAAGGUGAUGGCUUAACCCUCUUAGGAAUAUGGUUUAACCCUUUGAGGAUGAUACUGUACUGUAUAAUCCACCACCUGGUCUAGCAGAAUGCAUCAUGCUCCUUGCUGCCUGGUGUAUGAACCUAAAUUAUGCUCAAAACAUUCACAAAUAUAAGCCUAAAUUUUGCACUAUAGUAUUUCAUAUACAAUAAAGUGUAUAAAGUCCCUGUAUGGGUAUAUAAAUUUCAUAAACAUUUCUCGUAUGAAAAUCCUGAGAGUUCAAUUGUCAUCCUCAAAGGGUUAAUUAAUUAUUGGUGUAUAAUUAACUUCCAAGAGGUUUGAGGAAAUUAUUAUUUUGAUUUGCAACAAAGCAGGAAGAUUGCAAAAUGGUGAUGAUAACAUAAUAGCACAGAAUGUCUAUUGUCAGUGGGGAAAUGAUUUAUGAAAGUAUAACAUGAUAGCUAAUGAAAGAAGGAUUAAGGAGAAACAUGAACAAAGACGGUAAAGGUGUACAGUAAUAUUUGAUGGACAUGGGAAUUUGGAAGAGGGAACCAAUGAAGUUUAUUCAAACCACCUGAAGAUUAACCCCCGCUUAUUUCACCUUAAGAUUAUCCACCCUAACAGUAACCUCACCUUAUCCAACCUAACGUAAUCCCCCCACCCAAGGUAGCAUUAGGAUGAUCAGUCAUCAGGUAAAAUAAGCUGGAGGUUAAUCUUCAGGUGAUCUGCUUAUUCAUAGAAAUGUGACCAUAGUGCUUGCCCCAUAAAAAGCUGAGAGCUGUUAAAAACUACAGUCUAUUAAGAUAAAAGUUAUGAGUAAAAUGAGCAUCUGGUUUAAAUUACUUACUUAGAUUGGCAACAUCUCUAUGAACGCUCUCGUAUGCUAAUAUGAAGAGAAUUAUUGCUAACGUAGUCUCAGCAAUAAAAGGUUCUCAGGGCAAUGGAUGGAAGAAUAAGUUACCUAAAUAUAUUUGAUUAAGGGGGGGGGCAUUGUAGAAGCCAGCUUGGAUAUAAAACACUUCUGAGGUGUUAUGGAAGUUUACCUGGUCGAGAAUAUAGAGCCAUUGACAUGCUGAGUUGUAUGGUCAUAGACUUGCUGGUAGUUUUAGUUAGAGUAAGGUUUAUCAUUCACCAUAUUGCUUGAUAGCGCUUUGUCCUGAGAUGCCUGGUAUGUAAUUGGUCUUAAAAGUACAGUAAACACCAAGAAACUUUAGGGAUCACUACACGUAGUUUAAGUGUGUUGGUCUGUUACCUCGGAUUUUCAUGCUACUGUUCUUAUCCUUUUAGUCCAGUGGUAAAAUUCAACAUUCUUGUCCUACGUGCUUUAAAAUUUAUAAAAUUUGAUAUCAUCUUCGUGUGUAUUGCAUGUUGUUGAUUUCUUGGUGGUAAAUGAUAAUUAUUCCUAAUGAAGCUGAGACUUAUCAGGUAUCAGGUAACUUGGUGUUUUUUUGAGUAAUAAGCAAUGUGUAGUCUUAUUGACACACAUUGUAGUAACAGCACUUCUCUUUGGCUACUGUCCCCUCUGAAUUUCUUUCUGUUAUUAUUAAUUAACACUAUAUACUGUACUUAGAAUUUUCUAAUCCAGUCCAAUCUGUAGUCUUACCAUUGUGUAGAGUUACAGUACAAUAGAUUUGCAAAAAAUAACAUGUUAAACAAAAGUUCUUUGAUGUUCCAAAUAACACCGGGGCCAAUGUUCAUGGUCUUUGUUGUAGAUGUGCACAUAGAUUAUUUUAAAAUAAUUUUGAGUACAUGAAAAUGUGUUUGUUUUUUAUAUUCAGUUCAGAUAGAGUGAUGUGUACAUAAAAAAGUUAUGGAAGAGAAUUUUUUUUUAAUGUCUUUUCUUUUUGAAAUACAUUAUUAGAAUGAAUAUUACUCAUAAUUGUAAACUUAUUUAUAAUCUCUGCUCUAUCCAGUGCAAUCUCUGUAUAAAGUAUACUGUAUUUUAUAACUGCAAAUGAUAAUACUAUUUUAAGACAAAGUGUCAAGUGAAAAGUAAAUAUCUGGCAGCUCACUGAUGUCAUCACCUUCUUUCUUACAAUGAUUCACAUCAAAUUUUGUGCUUUUUGUCAAAUUCAAUAAUGUAACAUUAUUAAUUCUGAACAUGUGGCCAAGCUUUAACAUUUACAAGAUAUAAUUAGUGCCAAGCAUAUGGUCAUAUAAUUUUUUUAAAUAUUAAUUCCAGAUAUAUGGUCUUGUCACACCUUUAGAGAUGUUAAUUCCAAACAAAUUAAUUACAGGUGCAUAGUCAUUUUAUUAUCUUGAAUGAUAUUAAUUCCAACUAUUGGUCAUGUUCUUAUCUUUAAAAAUAUAAAUUCCAGGUAGUAUAUGGCCAUGCCUUCACCUUUAAGUGCAUAUUUAAACUUUAUGACUUUCCUGGGUAGCUUGUUUGCAGCAACUGGUAUGUCUUAGGGUCAACCACCAGAUUAACCCCCAUGGAAGAAUGUACAAUAAUGACAAUAAUAUCAUUCUUUCCUACUGCAAGCAGAGCUCUUAAAAAUGUUGCUAUGUAACUUUACUUCCUUUACUUUAUCCUCUUUGCCACAUGUCAGCUUACUAGUCAGUCAGGUGGUUUGUCAUUUCUCUGUUACAUGCUGUUGAUAAGUACUGGGCAUGGAUGGGCUCUUGAAUGCAGCUGAACGUGUUAUGGUUUUAGUCAAGUUUGGACUUAAAAGAGCUCACACUUGGUGCUACAGAGUAUCACGGUUUUCUGAACUGAUAGUCUUGUCAACUUGAAGCUGUGACCUCUGGUCGGGUGAACCAUCAGCUUUUUGAGACAUGUACAUUUGACUGAGUUCUUAUGCACCUUGAGAUGCUUAUUAACUUCAAUCUAAAUCUUUCAUUACCCUUCUGUUAGGUGUCUUGAUCUGUCUUGGUAUUGAGGUGUCUAAGAUCUGACUCCAACCUGGUAGCCCUCUUAUGGAUGUUCUCAAUCAAAAUGGCAGGAAACUAAGCAGAAUUAUAUUACUUCAAGUGAGGUAGCAUUACACUUUUGAAAAUCCUUUUAUAUAGAGAGGGGAAUGAAAGUGUUAAUAUAGAUAUGGGUACGUACUAGUAUAUACUGGUACAGUAUUAUAUUUGAAGAUGAUAUAGAAUACUGUUUAGGAUGUUAAUAUUGUUGGUUAUACAAUAAUAAUCAUAGAUGUGACUGGUAAUUAGUCAAUCUUCUUACAUUUAUAUACAAGAUGAAAGGCUACUAGAAAUGACCAGUAUGUUAAAGCAGCACGACAAUAAAAAAAAAUUUGUGUUUACUCAAUAUCAGUUUUAGAAAGACUAGCAUGAUUUUUUAUGAUGUGUCCAGCAAGUAAUUUCUCUCUCCUCAGUUAUCAAACCCUUAGUGAUCCAGGGUCAGCAUAAAGAAGCCAUCCUGAAGUCCCCCCUCAUACUGUAUGAAUUUGAAGGUAUGAAAUGUACAAAGAAAAUAUGAAGCAGGAAUAUGAUAAAAAAUGGAGUAAUUUCUUUGCUUGGUGUAUUUUUUUUUAAUGAGAUAGUUCAUAUUAAUUUUAUUUUUUAUCAUAAACUGUGCCAGAAUACAGACUUUCUGUUGCUCAUUGAUAUCAUAUACUGUAAUACAAUUAACUUUUUCCUUGCCACAUGACUAAACUGAUAUCAUAUGCCAGUAUGAUGUCAUUAUUUUAAGUUACAUUAAGUGAUGUUGUAAGAAAGGGGUUAAUCUUAUGCUGUACUUGAUUGUUAUUUGUUCCUGACUUAAGAUAUUUUAGAAUUUAUUUUUAUUAACAUUAUUUUGGUGUUAGUGUGUGAAUCUUUGCCUGAUUACCUGUAAUAUUUUUUAAGUGUCAAACAGAGUAGAGUACAAUAAUUGUUUAUCAAAGAUUUUCUAUGGCAUUUAAGAUUUAUAUAUUGAAUGGAAGGUGAUACAGUAAAUAUAGUUACUUUUUCAACAAACUCACGCUCUUAGAGAGGGACUUGAAGACACAAUUCAUGGUCUGUUUUAAAUUUCUCCUUAAUUUUAUAUAUUAAUGGUGCUGUUUUCUGAUACAAUGUCGCAAAUUGUUAGUGCUGUUCAUUUUAUAUUUUCAGUUUUUUUAUUAAUAUUGUGUUGUCACUUGAGCAUCAUUUAGUAAAAGUACAUGUACAAUUCUGUACAAGUCAACAUAAUUCAUGUUCAGUAAAGAAAUCUUACCAAUCACUCCAGAAGAGAACACAAAUUACAUUUCAAGAGGCAUAUUUUGGCAGCAAUACAGUAUGUAGAUUCAUUGAUAUAGUUGAAUAUAUAGUGGACAACUUUACUGCUGCUCUCUCCUCACUGAGGCGGCGCUCACUUCACCCGUCAGCAGUGUAAACCUAAUAAAGGAAUCUGGGAUUACUGUUCCACAAAACAGUUAAAUUAUUUUAUUAUGAGCCUGAUCUAACAUAGCAAAGAAGUAAGAUUAGGUUUUUAUGUUAGUAAUUUUAUCCAAUUUGUGGAAAUGUAACCUCCAUAAUGCAUUAUCAAGUUUGCAUUGCUCGUGAGUAGAGCAAGUGGUGUCAGAUGUAAGCACGCUACAGUGUAUCAAAUUUUAACGAUGUGAUAUAUAUAUAUAUAUGUAAAACAGUUUUGAUGGGAUUGAAAUGACAGAGCAUAUCAACUUUUUGCUUCAACAUCUUACUAUAAUGUUACGUACUGGUAUCUAAAAUACGGCUUUUGAUGAAUAAACACGAGGAAAUCUGCUCAUAUUAAACUGAACUGUAGAGGAAUGACAAAUUUUUGUAUUGCUGCUAACUAAGACAUCCUGAAGUCCUGUUUAAAUAUUAUAAUCAAGAGUUUGGUUAGUUGUUUUAAUUGAACUAGAAUUAUGUCUUGUAUAAUUUUAUGUGUCAGCCUUAAAGAAAAUUUUAUUGAUGAGCUUUAAGUUAAUAAUGUACACAUUGUUAUUAGACAUAGUCUCUACUAUGACCUCAUUCUGUUUUUAGUGUUUUAUCAGUACAGUAGUUUGAAUUCUUUUAAUCAUGUAAUCAGUGGAACCCUUGAUGUACAGUAUUUUCAGUAGUGUAUGUUAUGCAUUCGUACAAUCAGUAGAACUAUUGGUGUAUUUUUAGUAGUUUGUUUACAUUACACUUUUAAUAUUCUUAUACAAUAAUCAGUAGAACCUUUGAUGUAUCUUAUUCAUUCUUAUAAUCAGUAGAAUCCUUUGUAUAUUUGUUAUAGUUUAUCUACAAUAUAUUUUUAUUACUGUAAUCAGUUGAACCUUUUGGUAGUAGAUAAGCUGGUGUUGGUCAGCCUUGAGACACACCAGCAUGGGCGCUGUACUGUACUUUCUGUCUCUGUUAGUUACAGCAGCUUUCUAUUUUUGUUUUUUCUGAAGAAUUACCUCAUCCAAUUCAGUUAUGUGUAAUGCGGAGAUGCUCUUGAGUAUAUAUUUGUUGUUAUUACACCUAGUGAAUGCCAAAAUACAGUUAGUGAUAUUGUGCCAUAAUCUUGCAGUGUCAGGAAGACAUGGGAUAAGAGACAGGUCCAGAACCUCAACUUGUGGUGGUUUGAGUUUGAAAAAAAAAUCACUUAAUUUUUCUUGAAGUGUAGAAUGAGUUUUGGAAUUGAAAGUCUGAAAUUCUUUUAUAAAUUGUUAAACUGAUAUUAAAAUGGAAUUCACUGGUAGGGAGGUCAUCAGUACUGCAUACUUAUAUCUGUUAUCUUCACUCCACUUCCACUCUUGUCUUGAGUGGAUUAAAGGUAAAGAAACCCCCAAAAAGGAAUAAAGCAGGAAGAAUGGUGCAUGGUGAGUGUGAACAGUGAUAAAAAAGGUUAUGACAAUAAGUAGUAUAUACCUUACAUACAUUUAUUCACAUCCUCACUAUACAAACACGGUAUACAAAGUGAAUCGUAGCAGCAUCAUAAAUUCAUGUUGUUUCAUAUCACCAUGCAUGCGAAGUUCACCUCUCAGGUCACUAACACUACCAUCUUGAUGUGUCAUAUCAAGAAAAGCUGUUCAAUUUAAUGAAAAUUUGGUAUUGGUAACCUGCAUUGAGUAGUUUCUUUGAAGGAUUAUUUUCCCAUGCAGUUUUUCUCAACAUUUUAUAGGUUUAUAUUUUUAGUUAAUUAUUGCCACACUGAUCUUAGGAGAUGGGAGAUCUGUUUCUAAGCUGUUUGUUAUGCAAUAUUUUUUUAUUGAUGAGAUAUGCAUGCUAGUAGUUGCCUAUUUAAGUAGGAACUCCUGCAUGAUGCUAAAUGGGUAUUAAAGAUAUGUAUUCAUAAUGCAGUACAGCUGUUAUCUAUUGUUGGGAACUACAUUGGUACUUGUUUAAGUGGUAUUAUACGUAUACAGUACAAUUUUAAUGUGGAAAAGUUGAGUCUGCAUAUACUGUAUUUUGUUUAUGUUGCAUUAUCCAACUUACUGAACAAGAAUCAGACUGUCUGACUAACUGACAUGACCAACUGACUUACUGAUGGAGGCAACUUUUAGCCCAUCUUACACUUCUGUAGCUUAUAACUUUUCUAUUUUUAUUUAUCAUGCUUUAUUUUUACCAUAUCCUGUGCAUAUUAAGUAAUUUCCCUUAAAGUCACCUCUGUUAGGGAUAGGAGGCUCAUCAUGAACAUACCUGAGUGAGUUUAUGGUAGAUUCUUGUUAUUUAGGCACUAGAAGGUUACAUUACUUAUAGAGCAUUUAAACAAGAUUAUAGUCUUAAGUGUACAUGAUGUAUUAGGCAGUUUCAGAGACUAAAAAUGUUAAAAGGGUGAAUAUGCUGUGUUUAAUGUGGAAAAUUGACAGCUUAAUUUUUUUAUUCAGUGUACAGUUUAUUUAUUUGUUUUAUUUUCAUACUGUUUGGGUUAAUGGAGGAGUGAGUUCAGGAAUCAUCAGAAGUGCAGACUAUCAGAUAAUGACAGUGUAAACAACAUUUAAUUCAUAUAUUAUCUAGUAAGAUGUUCCCACUUACUCAUAGGACAUCUGAUAACCUUCCCUUGUGUUAAAGAACUUUUGUUCCCUACCUCCAGGAAACACCCAGGAGGAAGAGAUAUUUUCCGUGUGUAAAGUUUGUAACAAGACAAAUUAAAACUGGAAAUCAAACCCACGUUAAAAGACUUAUGCACUAUAUAUUAAAAUUGUAUUUUAUAUAAAAAUAAUUUUUGUAUGGGAAGUAGAUGCAGAGGUUGAUCUUCAUUUUUCUUAGUCUUUUGUACUGUAUUAUGCCAACUGCUUCAGAGAUGUUAGUUGCCAACUAUUUUUGUAACUCCUGUAGUAUUAAACUGCAUAAAAGAUUAGAUUUAUUUGCAGAAUUUUGAUAGAGGUGAUUUUUAUUUUUGUCUCAUAUAUACAUCACUAAAAAUUUGAAGUUCCAGUGACUUGCCCGCUGUUAAUUGUGAACAUAUUGUAGAGUCUUAUUUGCCUAUGGAGACUCGCUUAACACCAAAAAUAUGUGACUUAAAGAUUGUUGAAUUAAUAUUUGAAUUUUAGUAGUGUACUAUAUGAGCUUGAAAGUGAAUUCAUUGACUUAUGGUUCAUAAUUUCUUCAUGCAUUUACAUUUCACCAGUUUAAGAACAUGUUUUAGUACUGAGUCAAGGGAACACUAUGAAUCAAUAGUGCCUCAAUGAAGUUACUUUCAAGUGUUCAGGGAUUGAAUUCUCUCCAGUUGUGAUUAUGAAACUGGACAACUCAAGGCUGAUUAUUAAAGUGUGAUGAAUGGUUCAUUAUUUUCAUUAGUUGAAGAUUGUUGCUCUCUCUCUCUCUUGUUCUGGACAGAUUUCUAAAGUGAAAAAUUCAGGAACUUUAUGGAUAAAACCAAAGAAUCACAAAGUAAUCCUGUAUCGUUCUCUUCCUGUGUUCAUGAGCCAUCAGUUUCCAUUUGAGUAACAGCCUUGGCCAUUGAGCUGGGUGUUAGAGGCACCAGCACAGUGUACUCAUGCACAGAAUCUCAUGCAGCAGACACCAGCAGUGCUCUGCAUGUUGCAGUUAUAUAUGCAUAAUAAAAUAUAUUAUAUCA